rnacentral:rRNA from 1 species
GAUCCUGGCUUAGGACGAACGCUGGCGGCACGCCUAACACAUGCAAGUCGAACGGGGGUAGCAAUACCCUAGUGGCGAACGGGUGAGUAACACAUAAGCAAUCUGCCCUUCACAGGGGGAUAACAGCGGGAAACUGCUGCUAAUACCGCAUAAGACCACGGUACCGCAUGGUACAGGGGUAAAAACGAAUCAGUGGUGAAGGAUGAGCUUAUGUCCCAUUAGCUAGUUGGUGAGAUAACAGCCCACCAAGGCGACGAUGGGUAGCCGACCUGAGAGGGUGAUCGGCCACACUGGAACUGAGACACGGUCCAGACUCCUACGGGAGGCAGCAGUGGGGAAUAUUGGGCAAUGGAAGGAAACUCUUACCCAGCAAUGCCGCGUGAGUGAAGAAGGUCUUCGGAUUGUAAAGCUCUUUGAUUGGGGACGAAGAAAGUGACGGUACCCAAAGAACAAGCCCCGGCUAACUACGUGCCAGCCGCCGC